rnacentral:rRNA from 1 species
GACGAACGCUGGCGGCGUGCUUAACGCAUGCAAGUCGAGCGGAAAGGCCCUUCGGGGUACUCGAGCGGCGAACGGGUGAGUAACACGUGAGUAACCUGCCCUAGGCUUUGGGAUAACCCCGGGAAACCGGGGCUAAUACCGGAUAUGACCUGGUGCCGCAUGGUGUUGGGUGGAAAGUUUUUUCGGCCUGGGAUGGGCUCGCGGCCUAUCAGCUUGUUGGUGGGGUGAUGGCCUACCAAGGCGAUGACGGGUAGCCGGCCUGAGAGGGCGACCGGCCACACUGGGACUGAGACACGGCCCAGACUCCUACGGGAGGCAGCAGUGGGGAAUAUUGCACAAUGGGCGGAAGCCUGAUGCAGCGACGCCGUGUGAGGGAUGAAGGCCUUCGGGUUGUAAACCUCUUUCAGCAGGGACGAAGCGUGAGUGACGGUACCUGCAGAAGAAGCGCCGGCCAACUACGUG